AUGCAAGUCGACGGAACGAUGGGAGCUUGCUCCCAGGCGUCGAGUGGCGGACGGGUGAGUAAUACUUAGGAAUCUGCCCAUUAGUGGGGGACAACUAGAAGAAAUUCUAGCUAAUACCGCAUACGCCCUACGGGGGAAAGCGGGGGAUCUUCGGACCUCGCGCUAAUGGAUGAGCCUAAGUCGGAUUAGCUUGUUGGUGAGGUAAUGGCUCACCAAGGCGACGAUCCGUAGCUGGUCUGAGAGGACGAUCAGCCACACUGGGACUGAGACACGGCCCAGACUCCUACGGGAGGCAGCAGUGGGGAAUAUUGGACAAUGGGCGCAAGCCUGAUCCAGCAAUGCCGCGUGUGUGAAGAAGGCCUGCGGGUUGUAAAGCACUUUCAGUAGAGAAGAAAAGCUUACGGUUAAUAACCGUGAGUCUUGACGUAACCUACAGAAGAAGCACCGGCUAACUCCGUGCCAGCAGCCGCGGUAAUACG
rnacentral:rRNA from 1 species